AAAGGAUUUAUGCUCCUUCAAAAGAGAUUUCUAUCGGAGCUCGAUGCGAGAAAUUUUCACACGAACCCGCGUGUUGGAUUAGAGAUGCGAGAAUGAGCCGACCUAAUUAAUUCAUUCGCGCAUGGGGAACGCAUCGUUAUUGAUUGAUUAGCAGACAGCCUAAACCGCAGAAUAAUUUUCAUUUGCACACGGUGGGCACCGAGGGGUACUCAGACACGACAUAUAAUCGUUUUUACCGGUCGGCCCGACGCUCGCCGAAUCUUUUUUCGUUUUUCGGCGCGCGCGCGCGCGCACGCGAAACCCAUGGAGGCAAAGGAAGAAGAAGAGGGAGAGACGCAGUAGAGAGUAGUAUGAUGACAGCGGGAAGACACGACCACCAUGGAGAGAAUGUCGAUCUCGUUUUUGCGAACGGUAGGAAGACACGCGGAAUGGACGUUUGUCGAUAUCGUUUUCACGAACGACACGUACGUAUAAGUUACGAUGAUGUGAGGCAGAUCCAUUAGACUAUGCAAUUGUCCACGUAUUGCAUUGUCAGCCACCAUGGAGAUUUCUAUUCAGAAAUCGCGGAAGUCCCCGGAUGCAUUGACGAGAGGUAGAGGAUGAUCGAGGACCGCUCUUGUUGCGAGAAGGAAAGAGACACGAGAGAGACGGAAUCCCGUGAUCGACCAGGAUACUGGUUACUCGUAUUUCUCUUUUUUUCCCUUUCUCUCUCUCUCUCUCUCUCUCUCUCUCUCUCUCUCUUUCUCCCUAAUCGUCGAGCGUGAUAUUCGUUUCCACGGAAAUCAAGCAUCUUUCCUGAUGCACGUCUGUUAGAAUUCUGUUGGAAAUCCUGUCAGCGGGGGUUGCCCACGCGUUUUGUUCCAGUCGAUGACGACACGAGUCGCAUGAAAAUCAAGCUGAUACCAUUGAUGUUCAAUGAUUCAGAUCAAGGUCAAGCGGGAGGGAAAAGAAAAAGAACAAAGUCGAUCAAUUACUAAUACCUUGGCCAAUACCGGUAACUUGAAAUUAUCUGCAUGAUUAAUUUAUCACAUCUCAUCGUCAUACAUAUAUGUAAAGUAUGAAUCAGAUAAGAAAAUCCAAUUUAUCAGCUGCCGUGUACAGAAUUCUGAAUUAUAUUAAAUUAAAUUAAAUCUACCGUGGUAGAAGACAGAUAACGUUGGUUUCAUUGACCGGCGUUUCCGCAUUAGCGAAGCCGCAACAAGGUCCCUCGAAUGGCCGGGAACAAAAUUUCUCGGGGGUCCCCUAAUUAACCCAGUUCAAAGACGAGAAGUGAAUCUUUGUUACCUCCCGGUUCGGCGAGCACACGCACGCCGGCUCGAUCGAGGGUGAACACGGCGGGAUCUGAAUAAAAAGCUUUCUACGUGGCCAGGAAAAAUAAAGGAGGAUCGUGGAAAGGCGGACGUGGACGUGGAGGAGGGGGAGGGGGCCGCUCGCGCAAGAGGAAAGGAAGAAAAAUCUCGGAUUUCCUCGUUGGUGCUACGCGCCCUUGUCUUUUGCCCUCUCGAGUUUCCUGGAUCGUUCUCACCACGCCCAGCAAUUUGCCUUGUGCUACAACUUUGCGAUCGAUUAUUCCUCGAUUACGGUGUAACGAGAUAUCCACCGUGGUACACGCACACACAGAGUCAUUGUUCCAUUGGAAAACCACCAGUCCGUUUUCCUACAUUAAUACCAGACCUCCGUGGACCUGUCUCGUGAAACAAUUAUACCCCUGUCGAGAGGCCUGCGGAGCAUUCAUUUUAAAUUACACAAUGUGUCGCCGUGGCCAUUGUGAAGUCGCGGCCGGUGAUUGACAGAGAAAGGAUACGGACGAACGAAACGAAAUGAAAGCCGGUUGAACGAUUCCACGGUGUAGAAAAGAGAAGACUCUUUAAAUCAAUUUUUCGUUAAAGUACGAUUCACCUUCGGGGUAGAUUUCAAGGGAUAGAGAUUCGAUCGGAUCGGCCCGGUUAAGAUCUUUUCUUGUGGCUAAGCGAUUAUGCGAGGAGACUGCACGGUCUGGUUAUUUUGAGGUGUUGUUGGACAAUUUUUUUUCAUUUAUUUUGAAUUAAUUCAACAAUCAAUCUUUGCAGAGAAUAUCGUAAAUAACUCGGAUGACAAAGGCUAAUAAAUGUCGAUUCUGACUCAGGCAUCAAUGCACAAUUCAAAUCUUCAUUUUAUCGCAUUAAAAUAAAAUGUUUGACGCUUGUGACGAUAAUUUGUGAGGAUUUAUUUGAGACCUAUUAUGGCAUGACAAUGAAAGCAUAUUUUGUACGACAAAAUCUAUCAUGGAGUUAUCAUAGCAAACACCGUAUUGUACCAUCCAUCAGAAGAGUUCCGGACGAUCAGCUAAAUAGUUACUCUCAGAGAAGGAACGGUCGAGCUGGGUCUAAAUUUCACACAAAACUUCAAGAGUAUUUCCAUUCGACCAACAGAUUCACCUUCUCUAUUUACAAUUUUGAUUCCCAUACCGAGAUCCAAGGAUUUCCCAGCCAGCAGGACGCAUACGCCGAGGAUUACAUGGCAAACGCGUUCUUCGAGAAAAGAUAUACACGCAUAUGUCGCCGCGUGUGUGUCUGUAGCGAUAUCGUGAACCAAUUGAUCACACACACGCACACGCACACACGUGCACGCGUACCACAGAAGGAAGCGAGAGCGGAAAAAGCGAUAGAACGAGAGCGACGAGGAGGGAGGAUCGAAGAAAGGAGGAAGGGAAUCCAAUAUAACUGCACACACGUUUAUAGGGUCGAUGGGAAUAUAUUGGAGCGGAUAUUGAAAUACUUGUUGGUAGUUUGAGUCGAAGGCGAGAGAUGCCUUUCUCGAUGCCAUCUUGAUUGCGCAAUCGAGGCAUCGGUCCACGAGUACAGAAUUUAACGAUAAAGAUCGUACGGAUUAUAGAAUCCUAGACGGGGAACAGAGCCCUCCUCCCUCCCUAUCUAUCCUCCUUUUCCCGGGCUCUCUGUGCCUUUAUCGGUAUUACGAGCCUCAACCCCUCGCUGUUUACGAGACACGUCGUUCCGUUAAAUGAAACCGAUAUCGUGUCAUCGUUACGGUUACAUUCGGUGAUCGCGAAUCCAUGUGAAUGCAAAGGACGAAAAAAGGACUAAUUGGAUGAAUUCAUUUUCAUUACUCUUUUUGUUGCAACUAUGCUGCUACAUAGCGGCAUUUUUAAAAUGGGUAAGAUGGAUAAACUGUAGCAAGAUUAACAGUAAAAUUGCUGUAAAAAAGAGUAAUCAAAAUGAUCAACUCGUGAAGAUGAUCCCACAGAAGUUUUAUGGAUUUGCAACAAUACAUUUUCAAGGAUUUGAACGAUCUUUCGUGAAACACAUGAAUCAAAGCUAUUGUAUCAUAAACUUUUCUUCAAUUUUUACACUAUGAUCUCUCUGAUAC